rnacentral:lncRNA from 1 species
UCAACUUAAAUUAAGUGGGCGAUCCAACACCGACACCUAGGCCAGCAAAGCAAGCACAAGCACCUGCCCCAUUGGCCACAGGCUACGUGAUGAGUAUACUUAAACUAAGCCCAACGACACUCUCUCCGGCCAGAUGGACCGCAAUUAGAGUAGCUCCUCUUCCUUCCUCAGAUCUGAUCUGAUCGGAUCGGAUCAUUUGUCAUGUCAAAGUGUUCCUCCCCUUCUGCACAGCCUGGGCCCAGCACGGCAAGGCCACAACAAGUAGAGUAGUAGUACCACGUACUACAUGGAGAGGGCCGGUGAUAUUUCAUAUGUCAGGUGAGGUCGACGGUGUCUGCCUUCGUUGAUUGGUACGCCCAGAUUAUUAUGCGUUAUACUUACUCGGCAUUAUCCUCACAAGCUGAAUGAUUUAAGCGGGGAGGUGGAGUAUCUGAGGAGAGAAACAAGCCGCUGCUAGUGGCGAGGCUAGGCGGCACUGUCACGUUCCCUCCCAUGUGGCCCUCGCGCGCCAGUUUUAAUAGGCUGACCGUGAUUUGGUCGCGACAUGAGUUCGGCUGCUGGACGGUAGUAAGUCUGUUAGGCCGGUCUGCUCUGCUGCGUGUGAGAUCAGCUGCUUCCAUGUGCCGUUUCUAGAGUGCGGUGGCUUUGGUCCGUUUCUCCCCCAUCUCUGGAUGGGGUUUUGUGAUGUUGUACUGUUUUGAUAAACGGCCUGAUCCUUUUUUCCUUCUAAAGAGAAAGAGGACAAAAUAUCUUUCACACAUACGCUCGCAAAGAAACGCACGCAGCACCUCCUAUAACUCCUAAGAGCAUGGUUAAUAAUAUAGUCGACCGGUGGCUAUAACAUGUUACCAUGUCAUCUAUAGCCAAUGUAAUAGUCAAUAUGUAUCGUAAUGAGCUACAAGGAAGUAUUACUUUUUUACAAUAUGACCCACCAUACACUCUCACAUCGCUUCUUGGAGACCGUGCUACAGCCGGCUAUAAAUCUACAACCCGCUUAUCUUCUCUAUCCUCUUCUCUCUCAUCCAACUCAGCAAAGAUAUAGUAUUUUAAGUAUUAUGGCCCUCCUACGUCACCUUAUUAUACUUGCUCUAACGCACAAAACACCUAGUCUAGGUUUCCAUGACAUUCCGUUGUGCAGCCGUCCAGCUGCCUCGUCUCCAAUGGCCUUAGGAUCAUGGAGGCAUGGUGGAUCCUGUUCCUUACCGGCAGAAGGGCUGUGUUUUAGAUGUUUUUUUAGUUUUUAUAGGGUCUGUGUUCUGCACAGGAAGACGAGGCGACGACGGCGGCUGAGGGUGUCCUGUAUUAGGGGGUCCUCGGACAGCCGGACUAUAUACUUUGGCUGGACUGUUG